AUCCAGCUGACUACGAGUCCCAAAUAUGACGAAAUGCGAAUCCUGGAU
rfam:Trichobilharzia regenti genome assembly, scaffold: TRE_scaffold0012683